UGAGCAGUGAUGAGUAGCUAACGUGUAAGGAAAUCCUGCUUGCAGUGGGAUUUUCGAUGAAAUGUUUGUUACGCUUGGCUUCUGAGCUCU